CACUUGGUAAAACAAACACAGCGUCUGAGUCGUGGAGAGCCUUUGAAGAUCUAGUCUAACGGUGUGCAGCGGGCGUAAUUGGCUCCCCGCAGACUGGGGCCAGCGAAGGGUUAAAAUUGGAAUGGACAAAGCGUGGUGUUUUACAUGCAUAAUGGCGUGUUUGUUUUCACUUGUAAUCCCUCCGCAGUGAUUUAAACACAGAGAGUGAAGGAUGAUUGGCGCGUGAAGGUUUCUGAGGUUUGUUUUGGAGGUACUCCCCACCACUCCCCCUCCCUCUCUCUCUCUCUCUCUCUCUCUCUCUCUCUUUCUGUCUUUCUACUCCCCCACAUUCCAUCCAGAAGGGGCAGCACUGCCUGUGGUUCUUAGGGGAACGGUGGGGGCCUUGCUCGUACCCGUAAACCCGGCACCUCCCUGGGAAAGCUGGCUCACCCCUCCUCUCUGGGGCUGGGGCCUGCUGGAGCCAGCCCCUCAUAUUUUUUAUUUUAUUUAUUUAUUUCUCUUUUCAGUGUGUUUUUUUGCCCCGCGAUGGCAGCGGCCGAGAAUUAACUUGAUUUGUUUGUCUGCCGCCGCAUGUUUUGCGUCGAGGCAGUGCCCCGGCCCAUUAGACCCUCUUCAUACCCCGAGCGGGACGGGGAGGAGUGGGAGUCUGGGAGCAAGCGGAGCAGAGAAGACGUGCACUCUGCAUGCACCGUUCCCAUCCGUGGAAAUCUUUAAUAUGUCUGUUACGUAAAGCCCUAUGCCCUAGCCCUUGCUGUGACGGUAGGUCGGGUCGAACAGGGGUAGACAGAGGGGGGAGCGGUGGGGCGGUAGGGUGGUUUGUGGGGUGGGGGGUGGGGGGGUAAGGAGUCUGCAUUCUUUUGAAAAAACAUGUCCUCCUCUCCAUUUGAAUCUCCCUUUGUCCCACAAAAAAAGUAGGGAGGCUUUUCCCAUCUCUAUUUUUUUAUUGGCCUGUUUCCUCAUGCACAGGAGGGGUGUGCAGGCAGGCUGGGCCCGCCAUUGAUCUUUCAUCAGUCCACAGCAGCGAGUGGAAGUGAAAGACAGCCCUGGCGAGUCUUUUCUCCCUCUCGCUCUCUCUCUCUCUCUCUCUCUCUCUCUCUCUCUCUCUCUUUCUUUCUUUCUCUCUUUCUUUCUGUCUGUUUUUUUCCCCUUCUUCGUUACUCGCUGGAGCCUGCCUAUGAUUGUUUCCAGUUUCCUCAGAUUGUUUCUGGUUUAGCGAGUGUGCUGGGGCAGCCAGGCCGAGAGCCACAGACAUUUAGGAGAGCACGUAACUACCACUGCACUGUGGAAGGACUUUUGAUGGCAAUGCAAACUCAUGCCCUUGAUCCUGAUCCUCCCAUCUUUUGGAGGCUCACCAGUGCAACCAGCGGUUCAGCCGACAUUCAAACACCCCCCUUUGGUAUACGUCUAAAACAUCCUCAUGCAAAACAGCUGUGGGAACCUCAAUAAAUGAAAGCUAGAUUCUCAA